GGGAGGAGAGGGGAGAGGAAGACAAUUUAUCACAAUGUAGUAGCUGGGUCGUAAGCUCAGCAGAGGCCUUCAGGCAUGGCAACAAUACAAACCAGUAAAUAAUUUCUGGCUCAAAAUUAUUAGGGAAGGGAUGGGUAGGGAAAAGCCUAAAAAAUUGCUUUUCUGCCACUUGAGAGUUUCUGAGCCUAUGAAUCACCAGGUAAUUUAGGAACAUACUCAGACUGUAUUUUGGAGCUUGUACAAGGUGUUGUUCUAGGUGCCUGAGACCUUGCAUCCAGAACUGAGGGAGCAGUUGCACUUAGACCACGACCUAGGCUCUGCACACAUCAGGAAAGCUAGUUAGACUGUCUGCUGGGUUAGUUUUCUUUUUGCUUACACACUUAUUUUGCAAUUUAGUGUUUUCAGUAAAUCGGAGAAUAUCUGUAUUUAAGUAAGCUUAAAAGUCAAACAAUAGAAUAACGAUCUAAAAGUAUACUCAAGUACUACUUUGGCCUCUUUAAAUACCACGUCUGUAGGACAGCAAUAUAGAAACAGGGUUACAAUGUCUUGCCUUUUCAUAAACGCUGUGAACAAGAUUCCAACAAAAGAAUACUGUUUUUAUACCUAAUCAGCUGUAAUGAAAGAAUAUGAAGAACUGUCAUGUGCUUAUUAGGGGAAAUUAUCAGAUAUUCUUUUAUAUGAUGAACUAACACACUGUGCUGAUAAUUCUGUAGUGCACACUAAAUUACAAUUAAAGGCCUUUCUGCUCCACCAAAAUCUCAUUUAUAAUCUCUAUGGAAAUACUCUUCCUGCAGUUAUUUCAUUUAUGCUUCCUUUAUCUAAUUACUAUAAUAUUGGUCCUGAAUCAUAUUUUCUUAAUGUACCCUUAUUCAAUUAUAAAGUUAUUUUCAAGUACAGUUACUUUAUAAUACCAAGUAUAUUGCUCUGCAGCCUUCGUCAUUCACUGUACUAUUUAAUUGGCAAUGUUUUCUGAAGGUUUUCCUUCUUUUCAAAAUCAGCUUUUUAUUGUAAAGCACAAUACAUCCAAUUACCUUUUUUCUCAUCAUUUUCAAGACAGAAAGGAAUGGUUUGAUUAUUGCACCCUUGCAAUCAGAUUUCUCUCUCCUUCUUUUUUUUUUUUUUUUUUUCCAGGCACUAGUGUCGAGAGCUCAGCAGAAACCUCCCAGGGAACAGCAUCAUCCUGGGCUGUACAAUGUUCUGCUCCUGCCCCCACAGCUACAUAAGUGUUCUUCCCUUAGAAAGUCUUUCCUACCCAUGUUUCUUUUCAUCUUUCCUUCUUUUCCUGUGCUGCCUAUUCAUUUAUUUUUUGUCUCCCAUUUUAAGUGUCUUAGUCCUUCAAGUAUGCUGUAUGUACCCUCUAAAGCAGUGGUUCCUCUACAGUAGAGCCUGAAAUUUCUUAAAUGCAACAGGAGCUGUUCAUGAAUGAGGCUGAGUUUUGCUAGAUCCAAGCAGCACUGAUUCAUGCUGGGAGUUCAGGGUGCCCACGACUGAGCCCACUAUAAACUUGUUAUAACAUCAUUAAUGUCUCAGACUCCUUGAGAAUGUUUCAGGAGCCAAGACUGGGCCUGGUGCCUGUGCAGAAAAAGAAAUGCUUUCAUUCCGUGCUUAGCUGUAGGUCUCCUGCUCCAGAUGGGUAAUACAGAAUGAGAAAGCAGCAGCCUGCCUGAAAUUGCACAGCAAGAGUCAGGAAAGGAACAGGACCCCAGCUCCUCAUGGCAGAACCGGCCAGCUCUUCCUCAAAACGGGACUGGGAGCAGUCCCAUGAUUAUAACCUUCUCACUUCGCUCGGCUCUGAGUGAACAACUCUGGUAGAAAAUCACAACCACUGUUUAGAGGAUGAAGAGGAAAGGACCUUUAACAGUAAGAAGCUGAACAAGUUACUGUGUGCUUUAAGUAAGUGUUAAUGCAAGUCAGACAAGUAUUCGGAUACUUAGUUUGAUCCACUGUAACUGAGCUGAGCUCUGCAAGCCAAGCACAUGGGAUAUGACAAAAGACAGCAAAUGCUAACCAAAGAUGCAGUCACCAUCAACUAAUAGGAUACAGGAAUUUCCUGUGCCACGGGCUCUGCCUGAUUGUACAGCCCCAAAGACAAGUCUGUGCCCUCGAGCCCUCUGUCCACAGAGGAUUGAGCCCAGCUUCAGGCUGUGCUGUAUAUUUUUGUAGAAUUAGAGAAUUUUACCAUGAGUUACUGCACAAUAAACCCACCUCUUCAUUUGUACUGAAGUGGGGACCCUGUUCCAUUUUUUACAGCUGCAUAUUUAAUAUGUAAAAAAAUAGGAGUUCAUUAACGAUAAACGUGUUUCUCUCUAGGAAGUCUUUGGCUUAAAUGCCCAUUUUCAAACAUUAUAUGUGAAAAUACUAAAGUCCUGCAGUGGGUCACUUAUUAAAAAUUUGAUUUGAAGAUCAGCCUACAAGUCAUAAACAGUCUCGUAAAGAUGUAACUAUUGUAAUAACUUUCCUUUUCCCAGUUGGAAAUAUAUGAUGAACUCCUCUGAAGCACCUAAUGUAUGACUAAUGUUUAUUUGUAUUACAAGCAGCUUUACAGCUGCAAUGUUCCAAGAAAGCUUAAAUUCAAUAAACAGCUAUUAUAAUUCAUA